rnacentral:rRNA from 1 species
GAUGAACGCUGGCGGCGUGCCUAAUACAUGCCAGUCGAGCGAACGGACGAGAAGCUUGCUUCUCUGAUGUUAGCGGCGGACGGGUGAGUAACACGUGGAUAACCUACCUAUAAGACUGGGAUAACUUCGGGAAACCGUAGCUAAUACCGGAUAAUAUUUUGAACCGCAUGGUUCAAAAGUGAAAGACGGUCUUGCUGUCACUUAUAGAUGGAUCCGCGCUGCAUUAGCUAGUUGGUAAGGUAACGGCUUACCAAGGCAACGAUGCAUAGCCGACCUGAGAGGGUGAUCGGCCACACUGGAACUGAGACACGGUCCAGACUCCUACGGGAGGCAGCAGUAGGGAAUCUUCCGCAAUGGGCGAAAGCCUGACGGAGCAACGCCGCGUGAGAGAUGAAGGUCUUCGGAUCGUAAAACUCUGUUAUUAGGGAAGAACAUAUGUGUAAGUAACUGUGCACAUCUUGACGGUACCUAAUCAGAAAGCCACGGCUAACUACGUG